GAUGAACGCUGGCGGCGUGCUUAACACAUGCAAGUCGAACGAAGCACCUUAUUCUGAUUUCUUCGGAAUGAAAAAUUUGGUGACUGAGUGGCGGACGGGUGAGUAACGCGUGGGUAACUUGCCUCAUACGGGGGGAUAACAGUUAGAAACGACUGCAAAUACCGAAUAAGACCAAGCCACGCAUUGGUGCAGGGGAAAAAACUCCGGUGGUAUGAGAUGGACCCGCGUCUGAUUAGGUAGUUGGUGGGGUAACGGCCUACCAAGCCGACGAUCAGUAGCCGACCUGAGAGGGUGACCGGCCACAUUGGGACUGAGACACGGCCCAAACUCCUACGGGAGGCAGCAGUGGGGAAUAUUGCACAAUGGGGGAAACCCUGAUGCAGCGACGCCGCGUGAGCGAUGAAGUAUUUCGGUAUGUAAAGCUCUAUCAGCAGGGAAGAAAAUGACGGUACCUGACUAAGAAGCACCGGCUAAAUACGUGCCAGCCGCCGCGGUAA
rnacentral:rRNA from 1 species